GUUAUGGAGUCACAGUUUGACUACUCAGUUGUAAGUACUUUUCAACACGCAGUCUGUGUCAUCCUCAAGGUUGUAUUUUGUAUUGUGCACUAAAAUGAAAUACAAACAACAAUUUCAGCAUGACAUGCCUGUUUUGCGGAGAUGGUGGUGCCUGUUGCUCUUGAAAAACAAUGCUUUGAACAGGUAGACAGUUUAAGUGAAUAAGAUGCCCUAAUUAACUGGAAGACAAUCAAUAUAUUGUACUUAAAGAUAUAUUGUCAUUACAGUUAUGGGAAAAUCUUUGCCCACUGGACGAAGGAAUGUCAGGAGCUUAUUGCUGGAAAGCAUACUCCAGUCUUCAGGCUUAAGAGGAAGGCCGAGCAGCAGGACACAGAGGUUAGAAAAUUGCCUUCGAAAAACAGUAUUAUCUCAGUGGGAGUCCUCCAAAAUGCACACAGUUGUAUGGAUCAACAUUGUCUCGAUGUAUUUGGUAAUUGAUGUUACUUUUCAAAUUGACUUGUCCAGGAAACCAUGACACAGACGACAUCUGAUGUCCAAAGAGUGUGCAUGGCAGAUUCCAUGAAAUUCUGUGUCUACCAGACAUCCAACACCACAGGAGAGAGGUUUGUUGCAGACUCAAUUUAAUAAAUGCAAUUAUCGGGGCCUAUUCAGUGAUUUUCCAUGAAGUGACCACUUUUACAUAUAGUUUAAAUGCACGAAUCAUGCGGGAAAAUUAUUUAUACAUUCAAAUGUGCUGCAGAGGUAUAAUCAAUUGGACAGCGUGUGUGUUUAAUAUUAAGUUUGUCUCUCAUUUGAUCAGAUUGCUUUACCCUGAGGUAAAGUUUGUAAAAUGGGUCCAGUGCAAGACAUGCAGGGGCUGGCUGCAUCAAGAUUGUGCCGGAAUUGACAUGGAGCCCUUUGACUGUGGCUGCGAGGACUUCAUUGAGCAUCCUCGGUAUAACAUAAUUUAUCAAAGAAACAUAGUAUCAGUCAAAAAUAUGAGACGCAAAGGAUGAAAAAUGAGGGCUUGCUCUUUUUCUUAUUUCUCUGCAGGAUCAAGGAUGCUGUUGACAGUGGAGGAAUUGGUGCUGUCUUUUCUAAGACACAGACCAAGGUUGCUUUUGAAUGCACUAUCAGUUGUUAAAGCCACCGUUUCUUUUUCAGAUGAUUACAUGUUUGUCUCUUGCUCUUUGGUUUCAGACAUUACACGAUGAUCUGCUUUCUGGAAACAUCCGCUCCGGCAGGAUGUUUCUUUGGAGGAAACCCGCCACCUCACUCCGGCUCAGCAUCUGAAGAUAAGGACACCAUGGGCUCUAUUUUGGUGCCUCGCCGGAGACGUGCCGCAAGCACAGCGUCAGUCAGAUCUGCCGCGCUGACAAGGCGUUCCCAAGCAC